GACGAACGCUGGCGGCGUGCCUAAUGCAUGCAAGUCGCACGGGGAGCUUCGGCUCCGAGUGGCGCACGGCUGAGUAACACGUGGGGAUCUGCCCAUCGGUGGGGGAUAACGGCGCGAAAGCGCGGCUAAUCCCGCAUACGCUCGGAAACGAGGAAAGCGGCAACGCGCCGAUGGAAGAACCUGCGGCCCAUCAGGUAGUUGGUCGGGUAAUGGCCUACCAAGCCGAUGACGGGUAGCUGGUCUGUGAGGACAGACAGCCAGACUGGGACUGAGAACGGCCCAGACUCCUACGGGAGGCAGCAGCAAGGAAUUUUCGUCAAUGGGCGCAAGCCUGAACGAGCAACGCCGCGUGGUGGAUGACGGCCUUCGGGUUGUAAACACCUUUUCGGGGGGAUGAUAAUGACAGUACCCCCGGAAUCAGCCCCGGCUAACUCUGUGCCAGCAGCCGCGGUAAGACAGAGGGGGCAGGCGUUGUCCGGAGUUACUGGGCGUAAAGCGUCCGCAGGCGGUACGGUAAGUGGUGUGUGAAAGCGCGCAGCUCAACUGCGCGAGGCCAUGCCAGACUGCCGCACUCGAGUCCGGUAGAGGUUCGUCGAAUUGCCGGUGUAGUGGUGAAAUGCGUAGAGAUCGGCAGGAAGACCAAGGGUGAAGACAGCGAACUGGGCCGGUACUGACGCUGAAGGACGAAAGCGUGGGGAGCGAACCGGAUUAGAUACCCGGGUAGUCCACGCGGUAAACGAUGGCGACUCGGCAUAUGGGCGCGCUCCGCGCCGUGUGCCCCAGCAAACGCGGUAAGUCGCCCGCCCUGGGAAGUACGAGCGCAAGCUUAAAACUCAAAGGAAUUGACGGGGGCCC
rnacentral:rRNA from 1 species